CCCAAACCCCAUCCACCCAAACCUCGCUCCUCCCUCCUCUGGGAAGGGCAGAGGGGACGCUGCGAGCCCGGGCGGGGACAAACGGAGGCACGGCGAGGGACACCGAGCCCGGAGCCGGAGGGACUCGGGCUCACGGCCGGCUGGAGGGGCAGGAACGGACCGGAGCACACCGGGAAGCGCGACAGGGUGACAACAACGCUGCAGCCGUGGGGACAAUCCUGAGGAUUCCGCCCCGCUGAGCCGCGAUCCCACCAGCGCUCCUCGGUUCUUCAUCCCCCGAGGAAGAGGAGGAUGAAGGAUGCGGCGGUUCCCGGGCUGGGUGUGACCGGGAACGUCCCCGGGGGCUGCAUCCCCGCCCCGGUGGGGACAUCGAUGGCUCCGUGUCACCUCUCCAGGGAACCCGCAGCGCUGGCACGUCCGUGAAUCCCUCUCCAGAAGAAAUUCCUGCUGGAAGCCGGAGGGAGCCGCGGCCGGAGGGUGUUGGGGGUCCCUGGGGGUCCCUGGGGAGAGGUCCUUGUGCCCUGCUCGAUCCCAGGGAUGGUGACAGAGCCGGCCUGACCUUCCCAGAGCCUCUGGGAUGGUGGCACUGGUUCUUCUCCACACAGAUGGAAACUGGGAGCUGGGGGUGAUAACCCCGGGGCGUUGCACCCCAAAUCCCACCAAUAUAACAUCCUGGGCAGCUCCACGGAAGGAACCUGUUGGAGCAGCUGGGAGCUGUCACCCCGUGUGCAGCCACGUUGUUUGGGGUGACCUUAUGGGGACAGGGAUGGAGCAAACCCUGGGGCACCUCCACCAGACAUCCUGAGGUGUCCCAGCUGUUCCCAGGCGUGUCCAGGGCCAGGAUGUGCUGCCUCCUGGCCUGGCAGAGGCAGGAAGGUGCCUGGAGAGGGUGACAAGGUGGGGACCAGGCACCCACCACCCCUGGGUGAUGCUCAGAUGGGACCUGUGGAAGAAUGGUCUGAAUCGCUGUCAGGAGACAUGGAUGUCCACGUUGGGAAACUGCUGGCACCAGCAAGAGGCUUCACUUUAAAAAAAAAAAAGGUUUAUUUAUUUCAA